GGACCGAGGAGUCCGACGAGGCGGCGAGCCCACGGCAGCACAGACCGCCGCAGGCGCAGCGAAGGCGCGUGCGCGUCCGCGGCCAACGCGCUUCGGCGCGCGUCGCGGUCGCGCCGGUGCGGGGCGAUGGCGGCGGCGGCCCGUCGUCCGCGGUCCGGCACGCCGGGCCGCGGCGCGGGCCGUCCGUCCGCCCGCAGCCCCGAGGUGGUCUCGCGUCGCGUUCGAGUCACACUCGUAGCCGCCGCGUCGGGACCCGAAAGGCGGUGAACUAUGCCCGGCCAGGGUGAAGUUAGGGGAAACCCUGAUGCAGGCCCGUCGCGUUUCUAACGUGCAAAUUGAUCGUCUGAGCCGGGUAUAGGGGCGAAAGACCAAUCGAACCGUCUAGUAGCUGGUUCCUUUCGAAGUUUCCCUCAGGAUAGCUGAAACGCAGAGCGAACACCAGUCGCGUGAGGUAAAGCGAAUGAUUAGAGGCAUUGGGGCUGAAACGGUCUUAACCUAUUCUCAAACUUUCAAUAUGCGCUGACCGGCGGCCCACGAUACGGGGGCCGUCCGGACGAUGGAGCGUUUCCAGUGGGCCAGUCCUGGUAAGCAGGACCGGCGAUGUGGGAUGAACCAAACGCACAAGUUAGAGUGCCGAAAAGUACGUUAAUCAGAAACCACAAAAGGCGUUAGUAACUAAAGACAGCAGGACGGUGGACAUGGAAGUAGUA
rnacentral:rRNA from 1 species